AGUGGGGAAUUUUGGACAAUGGGCGAAAGCCUGAUCCAGCAAUGCCGCGUGUGUGAAGAAGGCCUUCGGGUUGUAAAGCACUUUUGUCCGGAAAGAAAUGGCUCUGGUUAAUACCUGGGGUCGAUGACGGUACCGGAAGAAUAAGGACCGGCUAACUACGUGCCAGCAGCCGCGGUAAUACGUAGGGUCCAAGCGUUAAUCGGAAUUACUGGGCGUAAAGCGUGCGCAGGCGGUUGUGCAAGACCGAUGUGAAAUCCCCGAGCUUAACUUGGGAAUUGCAUUGGUGACUGCACGGCUAGAGUGUGUCAGAGGGGGGUAGAAUUCCACGUGUAGCAGUGAAAUGCGUAGAGAUGUGGAGGAAUACCGAUGGCGAAGGCAGCCCCCUGGGAUAACACUGACGCUCAUGCACGAAAGCGUGGGGAGCAAACAGGAUUAGAUACCCUGGUAGUCCACGCCCUAAACGAUGUCAACUAGUUGUUGGGGAUUCAUUUCCUUAGUAACGUAGCUAACGCGUGAAGUUGACCGCCUGGGGAGUACGGUCGCAAGAUUAAAACUCAAAG
rnacentral:rRNA from 4 species